UACGGGGGGGGCAAGCGUUGUUCGGAAUUACUGGGCGUAAAGGGCUCGUAGGUGGCCAACUAAGUCAGACGUGAAAUCCCUCAGCUUAACUGGGGAACUGCGUCUGAUACUGGAUGGCUUGAGUUUGGGAGAGGGAUGCGGAAUUCCAGGUGUAGCGGUGAAAUGCGUGGAUAUCUGGAGGAACACCGGUGGCGAAGGCGGCAUCCUGGACCAACACUGACACUGAGGAGCGAAAGCCAGGGGAGCAAACGGG
rnacentral:rRNA from 1 species